rnacentral:rRNA from 1 species
CCGUGUACGUACAAGCAGUGGGAGCACAGGUUUACCUGUGUGACUGCGUACCUUUUGUAUAAUGGGUCAGCGACUUAUAUUCUGUAGCAAGGUUAACCGUAUAGGGGAGCCGGAGGGAAACCGAGUCUUAAUUGGGCGUUAAGUUGCAGGGUAUAGACCCGAAACCCGGUGAUCUAGCCAUGGGCAGGUUGAAGGUUGGGUAACACUAACUGGAGGACCGAACCGACUAAUGUUGAAAAAUUAGCGGAUGACCUGUGGCUGGGGGUGAAAGGCCAAUCAAACCGGGAGAUAGCUGGUUCUCCCCGAAAGCUAUUUAGGUAGCGCCUCGUGAAUUCAUCUCCGGGGGUAGAGCACUGUUUCGGCUAGGGGGCCAUCCCGGCUUACCAACCCGAUGCAAACUGCGAAUACCGGAGAAUGUUAUCACGGGAGACACACGGCGGGUGCUAACGUCCGUCGUGAAGAGGGAAACAACCCAGACCGCCAGCUAAGGUCCCAAAGUCAUGGUUAAGUGGGAAACGAUGUGGGAAGGCCCAGACAGCCAGGAUGUUGGCUUAGAAGCAGCCAUCAUUUAAAGAAAGCGUAAUAGCUCACUGGUCGAGUCGGCCUGCGCGGAAGAUGUAACGGGGCUAAACCAUGCACCGAAGCUGCGGCAGCGAACGUAUCACCCAAGACAACUUUACGGAGUUGACGAUUGACGGAGCGAAGCGACGUCAAAGCGUUCAUUAAAGUCGAGUUGGCUUAGGGAUACGUUCGUUGGGUAGGGGAGCGUUCUGUAAGCCUGUGAAGGUGUGUCGUGAGGCAUGCUGGAGGUAUCAGAAGUGCGAAUGCUGACAUAAGUAACGAUAAAGCGGGUGAAAAGCCCGCUCGCCGGAAGACCAAGGGUUCCUGUCCAACGUUAAUCGGGGCAGGGUGAGUCGACCCCUAAGGCGAGGCCGAAAGGCGUAGUCGAUGGGAAACGGGUUAAUAUUCCCGUACUUGGUGUUACUGCGAAGGGGGGACGGAGAAGGCUAUGUUGGCCGGGCGACGGUUGUCCCGGUUUAAGCGUGUAGGUGUGUGUUCCAGGUAAAUCCGGUUCACUUUAACACUGAGGCGUGACGACGAGGCACUACGGUGCUGAAGCAACAAAUGCCCUGCU